rnacentral:rRNA from 1 species
AUGGGCCCCGACGAGCUCCCCAAGGCCGCCGCCGCCGAGGAGGCCGCCCCGUUCUCCUUCAGCAUCUGGCCGCCGACGCAGCGGACGCGGGACGCCGUGGUGCGGCGCCUGGUGGACACCCUGGCCGGCGACACCCUCCUCUGCAAGCGCUACGGCGCCGUGCCGGCCGCCGACGCCGAGCCCGCCGCGCGCGCCAUCGAGGCCGAGGCCUUCGACGCCGCCGCCGUCACCGGCGGGGCCGCCGCCUCCGUCGAGGAGGGCAUCGAGGCGCUGCAGCUCUACUCCAAGGAGGUCAGCCGCCGCCUCCUCGACUUCGUCAAGUCCCGCUCCGCCGCCGCCAAGGCCGAGCCUCCCUCGGAGGAGGCGCCCGCCGUCAAGGAGGAGACCUCCGAGGCCUGA